GGUUGACCUCGGAUCAGGUAGGGAUACCCGCUGAACUUAAGCAUAUCAAUAAGCGGAGGAAAAGAAACCAACAGGGAUUGCCUCAGUAACGGCGAGUGAAGCGGCAAGAGCUCAAAUUUGAAAUCUGGCUCCUUCGGGGUCCGAGUUGUAAUUUGUAGAGGAUGCUUCGGGUGCGGCCCCCGUCUAAGUGCUCUGGAACGGGCCAUCGGAGAGGGUGAAAAUCCCGUCUGGGACGGGGUGUCCGCGUCCAUGUGAAGCUCCUUCGACGAGUCGAGUUGUUUGGGAAUGCAGCUCUAAAUGGGUGGUAAAUUUCAUCUAAAGCUAAAUACUGGCCGGAGACCGAUAGCGCACAAGUAGAGUGAUCGAAAGAUGAAAAGCACUUUGAAAAGAGAGUUAAACAGCACGUGAAAUUGUUGAAAGGGAAGCGCUUGCGACCAGACUCGCUUCCGGGGUUCAGCCGGCUUUCGGGCCGGUGUACUUCCCCGGGGGCGGGCCAGCGUCGGUUUGGGCGGCCGGUCAAAGGCCCCUGGAAUGUAACGCCCCUCGGGGCGCCUUAUAGCCAGGGGUGUCAUGCGGCCAGCCUGGACCGAGGAACGCGCUUCGGCACGGACGCUGGCAUAAUGGUCGUAAACGACC
rnacentral:rRNA from 1 species